AUGCUCCUUUCUUUCUUCGCAUGGAAACCGGAAAUAGGCAGCAUCACGCAAAGCUCCGUAGUUCACUGCGGAAAGCAAACCAGUAGAAAAGCCGUUUACGCCUCUGUGUCUUCCCAAAAAGCCACAGACCCGGCAGAGGCACCACGUGCACCUUCGACUCUCGUUUCGCAUUCACCCAAGAACAGAAGCCAGAAAAACAGAUUCAGGAACAAGCUCACCUGGAUUUUAGUCGUGGCUUCCCUUCUGACUCCAUCCCAGUGGAGAAGCUUCUGCCAAAGACUUCCUGUCUCAGACACAGCCAGAAGAUGCGUGCAGCAUCCAUUGAGGAGACGACUGUGUGCUUCAUGA
rnacentral:lncRNA from 1 species